CCCGCUGAACUUAAGCAUAUCAAUAAGCGGAGGAAAAGAAACUAACAAGGAUUCCCCUAGUAACUGCGAGUGAAGCGGGAAGAGCUCAAAUUUAAAAUCUGGCGUGCCUCUGGUCGUCCGAGUUGUAGUCUGGAGAAGCGUUUUCCGUGUUGGACCGUGUAUAAGUCUCCUGGAAUGGAGCAUCACAGAGGGUGAGAAUCCUGCCUUUGACAUGGACUGCCAGUGCUUUUGUGGUACGCUCUCAAAGAGUCGAGUUGUUUGGGAAUGCAGCUCAAAAUGGGUGGUAAAUGCCAUCUAAAGCUAAAUAUUGGCGAGAGACCGAUAGCGAACAAGUACCGUGAGGGAAAGAUGAAAAGAACUUUGGAAAGAGAGUUAAACAGUACGUGAAAUUGCUGAAAGGGAAACGCUUGAAGUCAGUCACGUUGACUCGGAAUCAGCUCUGCUUUUGCUGGGUGUACUUUCUUGUCAAUGGGUCAGCAUCAAUUUUGACCAUUGGAUAAAGUUGCUGGGAAUGUAGCAUCCUUUUGGAUGUGUUAUAGCCUGGUGAUGCAUACAGUGGUUGGGAUUGAGGAAUUCAGCACGCCACCAGGCCGGGUUUCGACCACGUUCGUGCUUAGGAUGCUGGCAUAAUGGCUUUAAUUGACCCGUCUUGAAACACGG
rnacentral:rRNA from 1 species